UACAGAGGGUGCAAGCGUUGUUCGGAAUUACUGGGCGUAAAGGGUGCGUAGGCGGUCGGGUAAGUCUGACGUGAAAUCUCCAAGCUCAACUUGGAAAUGGCGUCGGAUACUAUUCGGCUGGAGGAAUGGAGGGGAGACUGGAAUUCUCGGUGUAGCAGUGAAAUGCGUAGAUAUCGAGAGGAACACCAGUGGCGAAGGCGAGUCUCUGGACAGAUACCGACGCUGAGGCACGAAAGCUAGGGGAGCAAACAGG
rnacentral:rRNA from 1 species